rnacentral:rRNA from 1 species
UACGGAGGGUGCAAACGUUGCUCGGAAUCAUUGGGCGUAAAGCGCACGUAGGCGGCCUGAUAAGUCGGGUGUGAAAGCCCUGGGCUCAACCCAGGAAGUGCACUCGAAACUGUCAGGCUUGAAUAUGGAAGAGGGUCGCGGAAUUCCCGGUGUAGAGGUGAAAUUCGUAGAUAUCGGGAGGAACACCAGUGGCGAAGGCGGAUCUCUGGGCCAUUACUGACGCUGAGGAGCGAAAGCGUGGGGAGCGAACAGG